rnacentral:rRNA from 1 species
CUAAGAAUAUUCCGCAAUGGACGAAAGUCUGACGGAGCGACGCCGCGUGGAUGAUGAAGGCCGAAAGGUUGUAAAGUCCUUUUGCUGGGGAAGAAUAACCAUGGGAGGUAAUGCCCGUGGGAUGACAUGAACCGGCGAAUAAGCCCCGGCUAACUACGUGCCAGCAGCCGCGGUAACACGUAGGGGGCGAGCGUUGUUCGGAAUUACUGGGCGUAAAGGGCAUGUAGGCGGCUUGGUAAGCCUGGCGUGAAAGUCACCGGCUCAACCGGUGGAUUGCGUUGGGUACUGCUGAGCUUGAAUCACGGAGAGGGAGCUAGAAUUCCAGGUGUAGGGGUGAAAUCUGUAGAGAUCUGGAAGAAUACCAGUGGCGAAGGCGAGCUCCUGGCCGAUGAUUGACGCUGAGGUGCGAAAGUGUGGGGGUCAAACAG